rnacentral:rRNA from 1 species
GUGUCAGCAGCCGCGGUAAUACGUAGGUGGCAAGCGUUGUCCGGAAUUAUUGGGCGUAAAGGGCUCGCAGGCGGUUUCUUAAGUCUGAUGUGAAAGCCCCCGGCUCAACCGGGGAGGGUCAUUGGAAACUGGGGAACUUGAGUGCAGAAGAGGAGAGUGGAAUUCCACGUGUAGCGGUGAAAUGCGUAGAGAUGCGGAGGAACACCAGUGGCGAAGGCGACUCUCUGGUCUGUAACUGACGCUGAGGAGCGAAAGCGUGGGGAGCAAACAG